rnacentral:lncRNA from 1 species
AUGGCUCAAGAAAAUUGAGGGGAAUAGAUAAUAGAAAAUUUUUCACACUUAGGAACUUAACUUAAAAUAAAUUUUUUUUUUUUUUUUUAUAGGGAAAAAAAGGGAAAUAACGAUGAAAGGGAGAGUACAUACUUGAAAAAUGAGAAUGGAAAGAAUAUUGUUUCCCCCCCAUACUUAAACUAAACAUUGUCCUCAAUGUUUU